CCAAAAGCUCUUUUUAGAGCCACUCAACAAUAAAUAAAGUUAAUU
rfam:Cricetulus griseus cell line CHO-K1, whole genome shotgun sequence.